AGUGAACGCUGGCGGUAGGCCUAACACAUGCAAGUCGAACGGCAGCACAGUAAGAGCUUGCUCUUACGGGUGACGAGUGGCGGACGGGUGAGGAAUACAUCGGAAUCUACUUUUUCGUGGGGGAUAACGUAGGGAAACUUACGCUAAUACCGCAUACGACCUACGGGUGAAAGCAGGGAAUCUUCGGACCUUGCGCGAUUGAAUGAGCCGAUGUCGGAUUAGCUAGUUGGCGGGGUAAAGGCCCACCAAGGCGACGAUCCGUAGCUGGUCUGAGAGGAUGAUCAGCCACACUGGAACUGAGACACGGUCCAGACUCCUACGGGAGGCAGCAGUGGGGAAUAUUGGACAAUGGGCGCAAGCCUGAUCCAGCCAUACCGCGUGGGUGAAGAAGGCCUUCGGGUUGUAAAGCCCUUUUGUUGGGAAAGAAAAGCAGCAGGUUAAUACCCCGCUGUUCUGACGGUACCCAAAGAAUAAGCACCGGCUAACUUCGUG
rnacentral:rRNA from 1 species